rnacentral:tRNA from 1 species
CCCUGGUGGCUCAGAUGGUAAAGAGUCUGCCUGAAAUGCAGGAGACCCAGGUUCGAUCCCUGGGUCAGGAA